rnacentral:lncRNA from 1 species
UGGACUCUGAAGUCAAGCUAUUUGGUCAAACAUUAUUCUUGAUGUCUCUGCAAGACUGUUUUGGGGGUGAAAUUAACAGGCAAGUUGGUGAGCUUUGGUGAAGCAAACAACCUUACAUGAUGUGAGUGGUCCUUGUGCCCAGUUGAAGCCUUCUGUGGCCCUGCAGACUCCUGACUGAACUAACACAGUUGGGGAGAAUAAGCCGUAAAAAGGGGAGCUUUUCUGUCCUUUCACUUUGCACUGAUGCCCCAUCCAUCCUCCCUUUCUGCUUGCCAUGGUAAAUGGUGUCCGACGUAACACAGAUGCACUGUGCACUGGAGAGGCAGAGCAUCCUGCCUUCCACAGCCGUGCACACCAGUCCCUGUGCACAAGUGGCCACCCACCCAGCGAAUCGACGUGGUGUGCUUAUCAAAAUCUGUGUGUCUGUGGGCCAGAGCCAAAUCCAGGAUAUUGACGGAUGUCCUUACUGGUAAGGCUGUCUGGGACUCUCAGUGAAAAGACCGGCCAUGUGUGCCUCCAGAUGGUACUAGAUCCAGGUGCUAGAACAAGAUGAGCAAGUGAAUCUCUCAUACUUCAGAUCCUUCAAGGAUCUUGAAAAGAGCGCUGGAAUCAAAGGCGAACGCCACCACUGCCCGGCCUUGUUUUGUUUUUAAAGACAGUUUUCGGCACACAGAGAGGCUGUGAGUUAGGACGGGGGUUUCUUGCCGUUGCCACCAUUCUCAUUGACACGUUAUGCUGCACACAGCAGAGCCCCAUCCUGAAUGCCCAGCGGUGCCCACAGCCAGGAGGAGCAUUCGAUGUGUGAUGACUCAUCUCGUGCAUCAGACGCUCUCUAAAGUUCCCACAGAUUAUACCAUGGCUUAGUGAGUGCGAUUCUAAGACAGUUCCAAAAGACUUUUCAAUCCGUGGGAGUUUCAAAGUGGAUUCUCAGACAAACAUGGGGAGGACUGAGGCAGGCUUGGACACGCACAGAAUCAGACAACGAUGGUCCGGAGUUCAAAUCCCUGCAACCACAUGGUGGCUCACAACCAACUGUAAUGAGAUCUGGCGCCCUCUUCUGGAGUGUCUGAAGACAGA